AUGUCUUUGGUUACACAUGGCUAGGUGUCAUUAAUUGGGACAAGUCGGUGCAUCUAGACGUAUCAUUUCCACUUCUCCACUUGGAAAGCCCUCGUAAUAAUGUUUGAGACGGUGUCCAUUCACUAUAAACUUAUUGUCCGUCUUAGCAUUCUGAAUUUCCACUGCAUCAUAGGGAAAGACGUGAUUAACUAUAAAAGGACAAAUCUAAUGGGAACGCAGCUUACCUGAGAACAGUUUAAGGUUGGAUUCGUAUAGGAGAACCUUCUGACUAACUACAAAGGUCUUUUUAGAGAUUUGUUGGUCAUAAAACGCCUUACUCCUCUUCUUGUAAAUUAGUGCAUUCUCAUACGUUUCGUUCCGGAUCUCCUUCAAUUUUUGCAAGUCCAAUUUCCAAUGGGCACGGCCUCUUCUAGAUUCAUGUUACACUGCUUUAUCGCCCAAAAGACCUUGUGCUUGAAUUCCACUGGAAGGUGACACGGCUUUCCGAAUACCAAUCUGU
rnacentral:lncRNA from 1 species